CAAAACUAUAAAAGCGAUCUCAGUUCGGACUGCAGGCUGCAACUCGCCUGCACGAAGUUGGAAUUGCUAGUAAUCGUGGAUCAGCAUGCCACGGUGAAUACGUUCCCGGGUCUUGUACACACCGCCCGUCACACCAUGGGAGUUGAUAGCACCCGAAAGUGGUGAGGUAACCGCAAGGAGCCAGCCGCCUAAGGUGAGAUCAAUGACUGGGGUGAAGUCGUAACAAGGUACC
rnacentral:rRNA from 1 species